ACGACACGUAUUGCCCGGUAGCUAAAUGCGGAAGAGAUAAGUGCUGAAAGCAUCUAAGCACGAAACUUGCCCCGAGAUGAGUUCUCCCUGAGACUUUAGGUCUCCUGAAGGAACGUUGAAGACGACGACGUUGAUAGGCCGGGUGUGUAAGCGCAGCGAUGCGUUGAGCUAACCGGUACUAAUGAACCGUGAGGCUUAACCUUAC
rnacentral:rRNA from 1 species